AUAGGUUUCUGGAUAUAAAAGAACAUUCUAUUAAAAUACUAAUUUAUAGUAGUUUCCCUUAGAUGGGACACAAAACGUCGGUUCAGAAAACAAGCACCAAAUCAAAGUGCUGAUGUGGGGUGAAUACCCCAACACGGAGUGCAAGAAGAAAGAAGCUACAGAGAGCCAGUCCUUUCUUAGCCCUGCACUCCUGCAGAUGAAGCUGCCACUCUUGUCACAUCUGUGCAGUGAGCACAAGGUACAAGAAAUCACAUCACUGGUUUUGAGCCUACACACCCUAAAGGGGAAGUUGCCAGCCUGACAAGUGAAGCAGGGUAGAAAAAUUUCAAAAUGUCCUUGUCACAGAGAAAUGGCUUAAGAUGCAAGAGCUACUGAAAUCACACAAGAAAUCCACAGCAAUGAGGCUUUUGGACUAACCACUGUUUCAACUGGAAAGCUGUGCACAAGAAGAAUGUUUAAAUAAUUGUGACUAUUUCUAGAACAGGAAUAAAAAUAGUCACACAGAAGAGAGACCUGAAGGUUUUGGA